rnacentral:rRNA from 1 species
CCUACGGGUGACUGCAGUGGGGAAUAUUGGACAAUGGGCGCAAGCCUGACCCAGCGACGCCGCGUGAAGGAAGAAGGCCUUCGGGUUGUAAACUUCUUUUCUCAGGGACGAAGCAAGUGACGGUACCUGAGGAAUAAGCCACGGCUAACUACGUGCCAGCAGCCGCGGUAAUACGUAGGAGGCAAGCGUUAUCCGGAUUUACUGGGUGUAAUGGGCGUGUAGGCGGGACUGCAAGUCAGAUGUGAAAACCACGGGCUCAACCUGUGGCCUGCAUUGGAAACUGUAGUUCUUGAGUACUGGAGAGGCAGACGGAAUUCCUGGUGUAGCGGUGAAAUGCGUAGAUAUUAGGAGGAACACCAGUGGCGAAGGCAGUCUGCUGGACAGCAACUGACGCUGAGGCGCGAAAGCGUGGGGAGCAAACAGGAUUAGAUACCCGAGUAGUC